rnacentral:rRNA from 1 species
AGAGUUUGAUCCUGGCUCAGGACAAACGCUGGCGGCGUGCCUAACACAUGCAAGUCGAACGGGGGAGGGGUUCGCCCCUCCCGAGUGGCGGACGGGUGCGUAACACGUGGAUAACCUACCCUGCGGUGGGGGAUACCCUGCAGAAAUGCGGGCUAAGACCGCAUACGGUGGUUGGGGGCAACCCCGAUCAGGAAAACGCG